rnacentral:misc_RNA from 1 species
GAUGAAGAACGUAGCGAAAUGCGAUAAGUAGUGUGAAUUGCAGAAUUCAGUGAAUCAUCGAAUCUUUGAACGCACAUUGCGCCCCUUGGUAUCCCGAGGGGCAUGCCUGUUCGAGCGUCAUUUCACCACUCAAGCCUGGCUUGGUGUUGGGCGACGUCCUCUUUGGGGACGCGCCUCGAAACGCUCGGCGGCGUGGCACCGGCUUUAAGCGUAGCAGAAUCUUUCGCUUUGGAAGUCGGGGCCCCGUCUGCCGGAAGACCUGCUCGCAAGGUUGACCUCGGAUCAGGCAGGGAUACCCGCUGAACUUAAGCAUAUCAAAGCGGAGGA